GACAGAGGUGCCAAGCGUUAGGCGGAAUCACUGGGCUUAAAGCGUGUGUAGGCGGAAUUGUAAGUACCUUGUGAAAUCCCACAGCUCAACUGUGGAACUGCUCGGUAUACUGCUUUUCUUGAGCCACUUAGGGGCUACCGGAACAAAUGGUGGAGCGGUGAAAUGCGUAGAUAUCAUUUGGAACGCCAUGGUGAAAACAGGUAGCUGGGAGUGUGCUGACGCUGAGACACGAAAGCCAGGGGAGCGAACGGG
rnacentral:rRNA from 1 species